CCUCGUACCAGCACAAAUCCUUAUCUUGUUCAACUGGAUAAUUUCUCUAGAUCUCAGCUUAAACACAGUUUCCCCUGGGACACCACCUUGACCUACUAAGACCAGAUUGGAAGAGCACAGGUCUGA